rfam:Schistosoma margrebowiei strain Zambia genome assembly, scaffold: SMRZ_contig0003826
AUCCAGAUGACAAGUCCUAAAUGGGACGAAACGAGCGUCUUGGAU